GAUGAACGCUGGCGGCGUGCUUAACACAUGCAAGUCGAACGAUGAAGCCCAGCUUGCUGGGUGGAUUAGUGGCGAACGGGUGAGUAACACGUGAGUAACCUGCCCUUGACUCUGGGAUAAGCCUGGGAAACUGGGUCUAAUACUGGAUAUGACUUCUCAUCGCAUGGUGGGGGGUGGAAAGAUUUAUUGGUCUUGGAUGGACUCGCGGCCUAUCAGCUUGUUGGUGAGGUAAUGGCUCACCAAGGCGACGACGGGUAGCCGGCCUGAGAGGGUGACCGGCCACACUGGGACUGAGACACGGCCCAGACUCCUACGGGAGGCAGCAGUGGGGAAUAUUGCACAAUGGGCGCAAGCCUGAUGCAGCGACGCCGCGUGAGGGAUGACGGCCUUCGGGUUGUAAACCUCUUUCAGUAGGGAGGAAGCGAGAGUGACGGUACCUGCAGAAGAAGCGCCGGCUAACUACGUG
rnacentral:rRNA from 1 species